rnacentral:tRNA from 1 species
GGAGGGAUGGCCGAGUGGUUUAAGGCGGCGGUCUUGAAAACCGUUGUACGGGAAACCGUGCCGGGGGUUCGAAUCCCUCUCCCUCCGCCA